rnacentral:lncRNA from 1 species
AUUUUCCCCACCGUUACUCCCACCGCCCCUCCGUCCCCAGCCCCUUUUUCCUCCCUCUCCCCUGCCUCCCCCCUACCGCUGCUCCCCGCCGCCGCUCCGCCCGGUGCCGCAGGUGCCGUCUGCCCCGCGGCGCUGCGGGGAUCUCCGCGGCCGAUCGCUGCCGUUCCCCCGACCCCACUCCCCGCACAUCCUCCUCUCGCAUUGCCUUUUCGCAGCGCGUAGGAAGGAAGCCUGGACGAGGACUGCUAUGAAUUAACCCGCGUUCUCCGGGCAGGGGCCGCGGGGUUAUCUCAGUGUGUGUCCCCCCCGCCCCCGACAGGCACCCUUGCUGGCCGAGGGCGAGGGGGAAAGGGUUUGUUUUGGAGACGCCCCUCGCUGCUCCGUCAUUUGCUUUUGUGGAUGGGCACACAGGGACGUGGCACGUUCCACACUCGCGCAUACGCGGAGGUUAAGUGGUGACGUUGAGACAGAUGUAGAAUGUUAACAGUGCUGCUCGUGAAGACAACAGUUUUUCAUCCAAGGCAUGAAGCCUACAGAGAGGUAUCCUGCAAGAGCUUGGCUGCUCCAGCACACAGUGUUUGUGAUGUCUGGACCUGACGUAUUAGCAACAACACAACAGAGCUCGCUGCUGUCAGUGAAUUUCAGAGAGCAAGAGGCUGCCUUGAGAAGAAUAUAGAUGGGGUCCACAUCCAUAACAUGGGAGAAGGUUUAAGAAUAACGUAUUGGAAAAUGGUUUCAGAUCAUUUCACAGCGGGAAAGCCCACGGAUUCAGAAGAAUUGUGCAGAAGGGCUCCACAUCACACACGUGGCUGGGAAGCUGGUACAUGGCAUCACGGCUCAGAAGGUCGGGGAAAAUUAUCAUAAUCUGCUGCUCCAGCUUCUGGAAUAAAAGCCUGUUAAUGCCUG